UACGUAGGGGGCAAGCGUUGUCCGGAAUCAUUGGGCGUAAAGAGCGCGUAGGCGGUCCGGUAAGUCCGCUCUGAAAGUCCGGGGCUCAACCCCGGGAGGCGGGCGGAUACUGUCGGGCUAGAGUCCGGAAGAGGCGAGUGGAAUUCCAGGUGUAGCGGUGGAAAUGCGUAGAUAUCUGGAGGAACACCGGUGGCGAAGGCGGCAUCCUGGACCGGCAUUGACGCUGAGGCGCGAAAGCGUGGGGAGCAAACAGG
rnacentral:rRNA from 1 species